rnacentral:rRNA from 1 species
GUUUCCGCCCCUUAGUGCUGCAGCUAACGCAUUAAGCACUCCGCCUGGGGAGUACGGUCGCAAGACUGAAACUCAAAGGAAUUGACGGGGGCCCGCACAAGCGGUGGAGCAUGUGGUUUAAUUCGAAGCAACGCGAAGAACCUUACCAGGUCUUGACAUCCUCUGACAACCCUAGAGAUAGGGCUUUCCCCUUCGGGGGACAGAGUGACAGGUGGUGCAUGGUUGUCGUCAGCUCGUGUCGUGAGAUGUUGGGUUAAGUCCCGCAACGAGCGCAACCCUUGAUCUUAGUUGCCAGCAUUCAGUUGGGCACUCUAAGAUGACUGCCGGUGACAAACCGGAGGAAGGUGGGGAUGACGUCAAAUCAUCAUGCCCCUUAUGACCUGGGCUACACACGUGCUACAAUGGACGGUACAAAGGGCAGCAAGACCGCGAGGUUUAGCCAAUCCCAUAAAACCGUUCUCAGUUCGGAUUGCAGGCUGCAACUCGCCUGCAUGAAGCUGGAAUCGCUAGUAAUCGCGGAUCAGCAUGCCGCGGUGAAUACGUUCCCCGGGCCUUGUACACACCGC